GACAAGGCAGGCACAGCUCACUGGCUACCAGAGUCUGGAGCUGGGGAGGAUCGGGCUGUAGAGGCACCAGGGAACUGGGGGUUGCGCCAGAGCUGGUGGUAACCGGUGCCUGGGACAGGACUCCAGAGGGAGACAUACUCUGAGAAGUUGGCAGGUUGUAGCCGGAAAAUGCCCAGGUUCCAAUGGAGAGGCCCCACGUUCAUGAACAUACCGGCAGCACUUAAUGGACUCUGUGAAUUUAAAACAGUGGAUAUGGAAUUUGAAGGAACACAUGGGGGAGGAGUCGGGGGUGAAUAUAACUAAACUACGUUUUAAAAUGAAUGAAAUUCUCAAAGAAUAGGUAAAAACAAUUUAUGAAGGAGAAAGGUUUGAGGAGAAAUAGUUUGGCUUGGUCUGUUGGGUUUGGUUCCUUGCAGUGCUGAGGAUGAACAGCAGGGCCCCCUACCUACUAAGCUAGUGUUUUAGCCCAAGGAGCUAAGUGUCGGACCCCAACCCACAGUAAACUGUGUGCAGGCUCCAGAUCCAAAGGGACACAGAAG